GAUGAACGCUGGCGGCGUGCCUUAUACAUGCAAGUCGAGCGAACGGACGAGAAGCUUGCUUCUCUGAUGUUAGCGGCGGACGGGUGAGUAACACGUGGAUAACCUACCUAUAAGACUGGGAUAACUUCGGGAAACCGGAGCUAAUACCGGAUGAUAUUUUGAACCGCAUGGUUCAAAAGUGAAAGACGGUCUUGCUGUCACUUAUAGAUGGAUCCGCGCUGCAUUAGCUAGUUGGUAAGGUAACGGCUUACCAAGGCAACGAUGCAUAGCCGACCUGAGAGGGUGAUCGGCCACACUGGAACUGAGACACGGUCCAGACUCCUACGGGAGGCAGCAGUAGGGAAUCUUCCGCAAUGGGCGAAAGCCUGACGGAGCAACGCCGCGUGAGUGAUGAAGGUCUUCGGAUCGUAAAACUCUGUUAUUAGGGAAGAACAUAUGUGUAAGUAACUGUGCACAUCUUGACGGUACCUAAUCAGAAAGCCACGGCUAACUACGUG
rnacentral:rRNA from 1 species